rnacentral:rRNA from 1 species
GAGUUUGAUCGUGGCUCAGAACGAACGCUGGCGGCAGGCUUAACACAUGCAAGUCGAACGCCCCGCAAGGGGAGUGGCGCACGGGUGAGUAACGCGUGGGAAUAUGCCCUUCGGUUCGGAAUAACACAGGGAAACGUUAGUGCUAAUACCGGAUACGAUCUACGGAUGAAAGAUUUAUCGCCGAGGGAGUAGCCCGCGUAGGAUUAGCUAGUUGGUGAGGUAAUGGCUCACCAAGGCGACGAUCCUUAGCUGGUCUGAGAGGAUGAUCAGCCACACUGGGACUGAGACACGGACCAGACUCCUACGGGAGGCAGCAGUGAGGAAUAUUGGUCAAUGGACGCAAGUCUGAACCAGCCAUGCCGCGUGCAGGAUGACGGUCCUAUGGAUUGU